rnacentral:snRNA from 1 species
UUGUUUUGGCAGCAUAUACAACAAAUUAGAACCACAGAGGAGGUGAGCAUGGCCGCUGCAGAAGGAUGACAAUAAAAACUUAAAAAUACAUUUUU